UACGUAGGAGGCAAGCGUUGUCCGGAAUUACUGGGCGUAAAGCGCGUGUAGGUGGUGGGACAAGUCUGCUGUGAAAGCGCCUGGCUUAACCGGGCGAGGUCGGCGGAAACUGUUCGACUCGAGGACGGUAGAGGGGGGUGGAAUUCCCGGUGUAGUGGUGAAAUGCGUAGAUAUCGAGAGGAACACCAGUGGCGAAGGCGACUACCUGGCCUGUUCUUGACGCUGAGGCGCGAAAGCUAGGGGAGCAAACGGG
rnacentral:rRNA from 1 species